UCCCAGUUCGGAUCGCAGGCUGCAACCCGCCUGCGUGAAGUCGGAAUCGCUAGUAAUCGCGGAUCAGCAUGCCGCGGUGAAUACGUUCCCGGGCCUUGCACACACCGCCCGUCACACCAUGAGAGUCGGGAACACCCGAAGUCCGUAGCCUAACAGCAAUGAGGGCGCGGCCGAAGGUGGGUUCGAUAAUUGGGGGUGAAGUCGUAACAAGGUACC
rnacentral:rRNA from 1 species